ensembl:lncRNA
GUGGUUUAUCUUUAUGAAGUGUUUUGCUGAGCUCAUUUUUUUUUAAACUGCAGCAAUGCAGCCAGAAAGCAGCAACUCUGCUGCAGCUUUUCCAUAACAGCACUCUCCCAACACUGCCUCUGCAUCUGCAUCAGGCCCACCUUCAAAACCCUUGACAUACAUACUCCACUAAUACAGGCAUAAAAUUCAUUUCAUCUUUGUUUGUGCGCGCGUGUGUGUGUGCAUGCACAUUGGCCAGGGGAUCUCAUUUGGUGCACUGUCCUAAGGCCAUACUUUCAGCAGUGGAGCCGUCCGUGGCAGCCGUCAGGGAGCAGCUCCCAUGCUACCCAUCAUUCUUCACAGCCCUCAGUGCUGUGUGGCCCAGAAUGCAUCUCUCUCUCUCUCUAUCUCUCAGUAUCACCAACUUCUCAUCUCCCAGCCGUCACACGGACACAUCCAGCCCAGAGAAUGGACUGCGUGCAACACAAACGCCCAGUGCUGAUGAGCUGAGUUUGUGCUUUGUAGAGCUUGCCAUUGAGAAACUUUGUUUGUAGAUAAAUAUGAACCUCUAAAAACCACUCGACCGCUGCUGUCCCUGCAGUGCUCAUUUGCGCCUCUUCUCUGCUUUCUCACUCCCGUGAGGUUGGCGGACGCACAGCUUUGAAACCGAAAACAAUUUCAUUCCAAACGGCCCUUAUGUGCACGAUGCAAAUAAGGCACCUAGCUAGAUUCCUGCUGAGUAUUUUCAAGAAUACUCAAAGGUAUACGAUUCUCUGCCAUCAGCAUAUAUAAAAAAAAAUCUCUCGCUUUUUUUUUCUUUUCUUUUCUUUGUAAUCUAUUACCCAAACACACGCAUGACGUGAUGGAGCGCGGUGGAGCCAUGUUAGAUUUGUGGGGGCGCCGUACGGAAUAAGUGAUGGAGGGGCUCGCAUGGCGGCAUCGUGGGGGAUAGCGUAACCCCAUCGGUGCGGUAUGUGCUCAGAGGGGGCUGUCAUGGCAGCUUGCCACGGGACCAAACACUCAGGGUAAAUAUUUGCAUCUCGGUAGUGGGCGAGUUAGCGUUGAGGUCAAAUGUCUGGUAUCCUCGCGCGCAGCGUUUGUGACUUUUUUUUCUUCUUCUUCUUCUUCUUCUUUUUUUGUUGUUACAGUUGGUGCUUUGGGUAAGGAGGGGUGGCAGAAUGAGAGAGUGGAGAACAGGGAGUGGAGGAGUGAGUGACAUGGAGAAAGAGGGGACGGGAGAACAAGAGAGUCACAGAAAUGAACAGGGAGAGAGAGGGAGUAAUGUCGUCUUCGGUAGAGUUUCAAUGAUUGUUUGUUUUGUCAGUCAGUGUUGACUUUACUUCAUUUUAUGUGCUUUGUCAACCUCGUUUUUGUCUAUCUAACUAUCUUCUGAGAAUUUUUUUUUUUUUAAAUUGCAUAAAGACUAACUACAUACUAAUACCCCUUUCACUGUUAAAAAGAUAACAUUUUAACUAAGAGUGUAAUUCACAAUAAUUGUGCAUAAUAUUUCCAUUCCACUAUCUCCACCAUUCAUCCUGGUCUAGUGGAUGCCUGACAAAUAAACCAGGAAAUUCCUGCCCUAAAAGCUGUCAAAGAUAACUCCUAAUGUGUAAUGUCAUAUUUCAAAACACUCGCAAGAGCUAUUUCACUACCGAAGUAGGCAUUAACCCACUUUGAACCAGCUGCUUGCAUCAGUACCAAAAAAAAAGUGUUCUCUCAGAUGCUUUUUAGCCUGAUCAAAGUGUUUAAUUCCACGGCCUGGAUGUGUUGUGUGACAUAAUGAAUUGGUGUUGUGUUGUGUUUGGGAUAAGUAUAGGCGGCUGGCAGUGUGGCUGCGCAUGUGUGGCUGCGCAGCCUGUAGAUGGUGCUACUUUCCAUACAUAUGCGUCCGCCUCGCCUCUCUGAUCUCUCAUCAGGGCGAGAACACAAUGAGCCCAUUGUUUCCACUCUGCCUUUACCUCCUCAGCUUAGGAUCCCCCCUCGAUUGUCUUAUGUCAUAACCACUCUCUCAUCCUCCCUCCCUCCCUCCCUCUCUCUCUUUCUCUCUCUCUUUCCUUCUCUCCCUCUCUCCCUCACACACUCGCCCCCACCCCCCC